rfam:Ailuropoda melanoleuca scaffold954_8, whole genome shotgun sequence.
GCCUGGCUGGCUCAGUCGGUAGAGCGUGCGACUCUUCAUCUGAGGGUCGUGCGUUCAAGUCCCACGUUGGGUG